GUCGAACGGAGUUCCUUCGGGGACUUAGUGGCGGACGGGUGAGUAACACGUGAGAACCUACCCUUAGGAUGGGGACAACAGUUGGAAACGACUGCUAAUACCCGAUGUGCCGAAAGGUGAAAGAUUUAUCGCCUAAGGAAGGGCUCGCGGCUGAUUAGCUAGUUGGUAAGGUAAAGGCUUACCAAGGCGACGAUCAGUAGCUGGUCUGAGAGGAUGAGCAGCCACACUGGGACUGAGACACGGCCCAGACUCCUACGGGAGGCAGCAGUGGGGAAUUUUCCGCAAUGGGCGAAAGCCUGACGGAGCAAUACCGCGUGUGGGAGGAAGGCUCUUGGGUUGUAAACCACUUUUCUCAGGGAAGAAUAGAUGACGGUACCUGAGGAAUAAGCAUCGGCUAACUCCGUGCCAGCAGCCGCGGUAAUACGGAGGAUGCAAGCGUUAUCCGGAAUCAUUGGGCGUAAAGCGUCCGCAGGUGGCCUAUCAAGUCUGCUGUCAAAGCGCAGAGCUCAACUCUGUAAAGGCAGUGGAAACUGAUAAGCUAGAGUACGGUAGGGGUAGCGGGAAUUCCCAGUGUAGCGGUGAAAUGCGUAGAUAUUGGGAAGAACAUCGGUGGCGAAGGCGCGCUACUGGGCCGAAACUGACACUGAGGGACGAAAGCUAGGGGAGCGAAAGGGAUUAGAUACCCCUGUAGUCCUAGCCGUAAACGAUGGAAACUAGGCGUGGCUUGUAUCGACCCGAGCCGUGCCGAAGCUAACGCGUUAAGUUUCCCGCCUGGGGAGUACGCACGCAAGUGUGAAACUCAAAGGAAUUGACGGGGGCCCGCACAAGCGGUGGAGUAUGUGGUUUAAUUCGAUGCAACGCGAAGAACCUUACCAAGGCUUGACAUGUCGCGAAUCCUGCUGAAAGGUGGGAGUGCCUUAGGGAGCGCGAACACAGGUGGUGCAUGGCUGUCGUCAGCUCGUGUCGUGAGAUGUUGGGUUAAGUCCCGCAACGAGCGCAACCCUCGUUUUUAGUUGCCAUUAAGUUGGGCACUCUAGAGAGACUGCCGGUGACAAACCGGAGGAAGGUGGGGAUGACGUCAAGUCAGCAUGCCCCUUACGUCUUGGGCAACACACGUACUACAAUGGUCGGGACAAAGAGCAGCGACCUCGCGAGAGUAAGCGAAUCUCAUCAAACCCGGCCUCAGUUCAGAUUGCAGGCUGCAACUCGCCUGCAUGAAGGAGGAAUCGCUAGUAAUCGCAGGUCAGCAUACUGCGGUGAAUUCGUUCCCGGGCCUUGUACACACCGCCCGUCACACCAUGGAAGCUGGCCACACCCGAAGUCGUUACCCUAACCUUUCGAGGAGGGGGACGCCGAAGGUAGGGCUGGUGACUG
rnacentral:rRNA from 1 species